UUGCUACCCGCGAUUGGACGGAAAGACCCCGUAGAGCUUUACUGUAGCUUAGCAUUGAAUCUCGGUAUUGUCUGUACAGGAUAGGUGGGAGACUUGGAAGCUUGGGCGUCAGCCUGAGUGGAGUCAUCCUUGGGAUACCACCCUGACAGUACUGGGGUUCUAACCGGCGGCCAUGAAUCUGGUCACGGGACAUUGUUAGGUGGGCAGUUUGACUGGGGCGGUCGCCUCCUAAAAAGUAACGGAGGCGCCAAAGUUCCCUCAGCGCGGUCGGAAAUCGCGCGAAGAGUGCAAAGGCAGAAGGGAGCUUGACUGCGACACAUACAGGUGGAGCAGGGACGAAAGUCGGGCUUAGUGAUCCGGUGGUACCUCGUGGGAGGGCCAUCGCUCAACGGAUAAAAGCUACCUCGGGGAUAACAGGCUGAUCUCCCCCAAGAGUCCACAUCGACGGGGAGGUUUGGCACCUCGAUGUCGGCUCGUCGCAUCCUGGGGCUGAAGUAGGUCCCAAGGGUUGGGCUGUUCGCCCA
rnacentral:rRNA from 1 species